rnacentral:tRNA from 1 species
GCGGUCGUGGUGAAACUGGUAGACACGUACGUUUGAGGGGCGUAUGGCUUAUGCCUUGUGAGUUCGAAUCUCAUCGGCCGCACCA